rnacentral:rRNA from 1 species
UACGUAGGGUGCGAGCGUUAAUCGGAAUUACUGGGCGUAAAGCGUGCGCAGACGGUUGCGUAAGUCAGAUGUGAAAGCCCCGGGCUCAACCUGGGAAUUGCAUUUGAGACUGCGUAGCUAGGGUGCGGAAGAGGGAAGCGGAAUUUCCGGUGUAGCGGUGAAAUGCGUAGAUAUCGGAAGGAACACCAGUGGCGAAAGCGGCUUCCUGGUCCAGCACCGACGUUCAGGCACGAAAGCGUGGGGAGCGAACAGG